rnacentral:rRNA from 1 species
AUUGAACGCUGGCGGCAUGCCUAACACAUGCAAGUCGAACGGGUGGCGGACGGGUGAGUGAUGUCUGGGAAACUGCCUGAUGGCGGGGGCUAACUAGUGGAAACGGUAGCAAAUACCGCAUACCAUCGUUUGUGCCCAGAUGGGUUUAGCUAGUAGGUGGGGUAAAGGUUCACCAAGGGGACGAGCCCUCGCUGGUCCCAGAGGGAGACCGGCCACACUGGAACUGAGACACGGUCCAGACUCCUACGGGAGGCAGCAGGGGGGAAUAUUGCGCAAUGGACGCAAGCCUGAUGCAGCCAUGCCGCGUGAGUGAAGAAGGUUUUCGGGUCGUAAAGCACUGUCGGCGGAGAGGCGUUACCCGAAGAAGAAGCACCGGCUAACUACGUGCCAGCAGCCGCGGUAAUAC